AUAGGGAAGCAAAAUAAAACAAGGAAAUGUUUUUUUUUGUUUUCAUGCAACCAUGAAGCGAAUGCUUAGUCUCAGAGAUCAGAGGCUUAAAGAAAAGGAUAGAUUAAAACCUAAAAAGAAAGAAAAGAAGGAUCCCAGCACAUUAAAGGAAAGAGAAGUUCCCCAACACCCUUCCUGCUUAUUUUUCCAAUAUAAUACACAGCUCGGCCCACCUUACCACAUCCUCGUUGAUACCAACUUUAUCAACUUUUCCAUAAAAGCCAAACUGGACUUAGUGCAGUCAGUGAUGGACUGUCUGUAUGCCAAGUGUAUCCCUUGUAUAACUGAUUGUGUAAUGGCUGAAAUUGAGAUAUUGGGGCAGAAGUAUCAAGUGGCUCUAAGGAUCACCAAGGAUCCAAGAUUUGAACUAUUACCAUGUACACACCAAGGAACCUAUGCAGAUGACUGCUUAGUACAGAAAUAACUCAGCGUAAGUGUUACAUUAUGGCCACAGUUGACUGGGACCUUAAAAGAAAAAUCUGUAAGAUUCCUGGAGUCCCUAUAAUGUACAUUUCUAACCAUAGAUACAACACUGAAUGGAUGUCAGAUGAUUAUGGGGCCCCUUGA